rnacentral:lncRNA from 1 species
UCCACAGAUGUAGCUAACAGGUUCGGGUUGCAGAUCCAUUUUGGAAGCAGAGCUGCUGCUAUGCAAGGCGGCGUUAGGGUUCUGGAGCUGCUGCUAUGCAAGGCGGCAUUAGGGUUCUCCUUCAGUAAAAGCGGUCAACAUUGAAAUGAGAGGCGCAGAUCUUUCUGGAGAUAUGUAUUCUGGUCCCGGCUGGACCGGAGCAGGGAUUGAAAAAUCGGAAAAUGUCGCCGAUAUUUCGAAGAAAUAUCGGAUAUCGGAAGGCGCUGAAACGAUAAUCGUCACCGAUUAUCGAUCGACGGAAAAAUCGACAAAAAAUCGGCAAAAUCGCCGAUAUAUCGGCGAAAUAUCGGCGAAAUACCGAUUUAUCGGAAAAUUUCCCGAUAUUUUCCUACCAGUCCAGCCCGCGCACAGGAUACAAAAUCUGGCUCAAAAAUCGUGGAUUUAGGGUUCGUGAAAUUUAAAUCCAAUGGCACAACAACAAAGAGACCCUUAAAACAGAUCCAGAAAACACAGGGAGCAAAAGAAAAGCAAAUUUUUUGGUUUUCUUUGGGGGUUUUGAAUGGAUUUUCUCGGAAAUCAAACGAGAAUGAAUUUUCCCGGAAAUCAAAUGGGGGAUGGAUUUUCUUGGGAAUCAAACGGGGGUUGCAAAAAAAAUAAUAUCAACGUGAUUAGAUUAGUACCUGCGAGGAUUGAGAGUGGCAGAGGAAGAUAGGUCUUUUUAGGAAGAGGAACUCUCUUGGCUGGAGGGCAGCUUCAGCGGCUGGAGGGCAGCUUCAGAAAAGGGGAAAGGGAAAUUCUCUCGGCUGGAGGGCAACUUCAGAAGUGGGUGGCCCUUUUAAUUUUUAGAUUUAGUAGAGGUAAAAAAAAAAAAAAAAAAC